rnacentral:rRNA from 1 species
UGGGGAAUAUUGGGCAAUGGGCGCAAGCCUGACCCAGCCAUGCCGCGUGAGUGAUGAAGGCCUUCGGGUCGUAAAGCUCUGUGGGGAGGGACGAACAGCCCGAUGGUUAAUACCCGGCGGGUCUGACGGUACCUCCUUAGCAAGCACCGGCUAACUCCGUGCCAGCAGCCGCGGUAAUACGGGGGGUGCAAACGUUGCUCGGAAUUAUUGGGCGUAAAGCGCACGUAGGCGGUCCUGUAAGUCGGGUGUGAAAGCCCCAGGCUUAACCUGGGAAGUGCACUCGAAACUGUAGGGCUUGAGUACGGAAGAGGGUCUCGGAAUUCCCGGUGUAGAGGUGAAAUUCGUAGAUAUCGGGAGGAACACCAGUGGCGAAGGCGGAGACCUGGGCCGAUACUGACGCUGAGGUGCGAAAGCGUGGGGAGCAAACAG